rnacentral:rRNA from 1 species
GAUGAACGCUGGCGGCGUGCCUAAUACAUGCAAGUCGAGCGAACAGACGAGGAGCUUGCUCCUAUGACGUUAGCGGCGGACGGGUGAGUAACACGUGGAUGACAUAACUAUAAGACUGGGAUAACUUCGGGAAACCGGAGCUAAUACCGGAUAAUUUAUUGAACUGAAUGGUUCAAUAGUGAAAGAAGGUUUUGCUGUCACUUAUAGAUGGAUCCACGCCGCAUUAGCUAGUUGGUAAGGUAACGGGUUACCAAGGCUACGAUGCGUAGCCGACCUGAGAGGGUGAUCGGCCACACUGGAACUGAGACACGGUCCAGACACCUACGGGAGGCAGCAGUAGGGAAUCUUCCGCAAUGGGCGAAAGCCUGACGGAGCAACGCCGCGUGAGUGAUGAAGGUCUGCGGAUCGUAAAACUCUGUUAUGAGGGAAGAACAAAUGUGUAAGUAACUAUGCACGUCUUGACGGUACCUAAGCAGAAAGCCACGGCUAACUACGUG